rnacentral:rRNA from 1 species
AACGGUCUUUUAGGAGACAGUGGCGGACGGGUGAGUAACGCGUAAGAAUCUACCUUCAGGUUGGGGACAACCACUGGAAACGGUGGCUAAUACCGAAUGUGCCGAGAGGCGAAAGGCUUGCUGCCUGAAGAAGAGCUUGCGUCUGAUUAGCUAGUUGGUAGUGUAAGAGACUACCAAGGCGACGAUCAGUAGCUGGUCUGAGAGGAUGAUCAGCCACACUGGGACUGAGACACGGCCCAGACUCCUACGGGAGGCAGCAGUGGGGAAUUUUCCGCAAUGGGCGAAAGCCUGACGGAGCAAUACCGCGUGAGGGAGGAAGGCUCUUGGGUUGUAAACCUCUUUUCUCAGGGAAGAACAGAAUGACGGUACCUGAGGAAUAAGCAUCGGCUAACUCCGUGCCAGCAGCCGCGGUAAUACGGAGGAUGCAAGCGUUAUCCGGAAUGAUUGGGCGUAAAGGGUCCGCAGGUGGCAUUGUAAGUCUGCUGUUAAAGAGUUUGGCUCAACCAAAUAAGAGCAGUGGAAACUACAAAGCUAGAGUGUGGUCGGGGCAGAGGGAAUUCCUGGUGUAGCGGUGAAAUGCGUAGACAUCAGGAAGAACACCAGUGGCGAAGGCGCUCUGCUAGGCCGAGACUGACACUGAGGGACGAAAGCUAGGGGAGCGAAUGGGGAUUAGAUACCCCAGUAGUCCUAGCCGUUAAACGAUGGAUACUAGGCGUAGCUCGUAUCGACCCGAGCUGUGCCGGAGCUAACGCGUUAAGUAUCCC